GGAUGUGAGGACGAUCUGGCUGCCACAUCUGUCGCCCCAUUGAUCAUCAGGGUUGAUUUGGCUGAUCUGGCUGGCUAGGCGGGGUAUCCUCUUCCUCCCUCACCACUCCAUGUGAGUCCCUCCCGAAGCUGUGCACUUGGUCAAAGAGGACGAUCUUCCCCAACAGAGGAGAGGACCAUUCUCCGGUCAAGGGUAUACAAGUAGCUGUACUCCCCUGCUAGAACCUCCAAACGAGCUCUCAAAAACACCCUCAUGGACAUACACAGAAUAAUGUUUGGCAAAAUAUCUGGGUACCCUGUGGCCCAGUCAAGUCAACAUGUAGAAUU
rnacentral:snRNA from 1 species